CCUCCCCCGUCUGCUCUGUUCUGGACGCGACCAGCUGCCACCACUUACCUCAUCACCGCUGCCUUCUUAAGGAUCUCCUGGAUCUUCAGUCGGUGCCAGUUCGUUUUACCUCCCACGGAAUAAUCUACUCUGGAUCUCACCUGGUCGCAGUCCUCUGGUUUCACGCCGUCUCACAUCUGGAAUCCUGCAACUGCUCUCCUCCAGCCAGCCGCCGCGCCUCUGUUGGAAAUAAGCCAAAACUCACCUUCCUAUAUAAAAACUUCUAAACUCA